CUCAAUUACAAGAUAUAUUCAAAUUCAUUCAAAGCUACAAGAAAAAUUAAACCUAACAAAGUAUAUCCUAAUUUGAAUCAUUCUCCAUGUUCCAACAUCAACAUCAACUCCAUCAUUAUACUCAAUGUUGCACUGCAUCAAACUGUCCACCUGCUAACUAAACUAGGCACCAUACCAGGCUUGUAUAACACACAAAACCUAUUGCAUCAGUCACAAGAGCCCAUGUUCACAUUGCAAAAACUAUUUCAAACAGCCACGGUUUGUCGCGUACGCCUUAAAGGAAACAUGUCAUCACCACUUUAA